rnacentral:rRNA from 1 species
AACGUAGGACGCAAGCGUUAUCCGGAAUUACUGGGCGUAAAGCGCGUGUAGGUGGUUGCAUAAGUCACUGUUGAAAGCUCCCGGCUAAACUGGGAGAGGUGCGGUGAGACUGUGCGGCUAGAGUAUGGGAGAGGGAUGCAGAAUUCCGGGUGUAGUGGUGAAAUGCGUAGAGAUCCGGAGGAACACCAGUGGCGAAGGCGGCUCGCUGAACCUGACCUGACGCUGAGGCGCGAAGGCGUGGGGAGCGAACGGG